AGCGGCGGACGGGUGAGUAACACGUGGGUAACCUGCCCAAGAGACUGGGAUAACACCUGGAAACAGAUGCUAAUACCGGAUAACAACACUAGACGCAUGUCUAGAGUUUGAAAGAUGGUUCUGCUAUCACUCUUGGAUGGACCUGCGGUGCAUUAGCUAGUUGGUAAGGUAACGGCUUACCAAGGCAAUGAUGCAUAGCCGAGUUGAGAGACUGAUCGGCCACAUUGGGACUGAGACACGGCCCAAACUCCUACGGGAGGCAGCAGUAGGGAAUCUUCCACAAUGGACGAAAGUCUGAUGGAGCAACGCCGCGUGAGUGAAGAAGGGUUUCGGCUCGUAAAGCUCUGUUGGUAGUGAAGAAAGAUAGAGGUAGUAACUGGCCUUUAUUUGACGGUAAUUACUUAGAAAGUCACGGCUAACUACGUGCCAGCAGCCGCGGUAAUACGUAGGUGGCAAGCGUUGUCCGGAUUUAUUGGGCGUAAAGCGAGUGCAGGCGGUUCAAUAAGUCUGAUGUGAAAGCCUUCGGCUCAACCGGAGAAUUGCAUCAGAAACUGUUGAACUUGAGUGCAGAAGAGGAGAGUGGAACUCCAUGUGUAGCGGUGGAAUGCGUAGAUAUAUGGAAGAACACCAGUGGCGAAGGCGGCUCUCUGGUCUGCAACUGACGCUGAGGCUCGAAAGCAUGGGUAGCGAACAGGAUUAGAUACCCUGGUAGUCCAUGCCGUAAACGAUGAGUGGUA
rnacentral:rRNA from 1 species